rnacentral:rRNA from 1 species
UACGAAGGGGGCUAGCGUUGCUCGGAAUUACUGGGCGUAAAGCGCACGUAGGCGGUCUUUUAAGUCGGGGGUGAAAUCCUGGAGCUCAACUCCAGAACUGCCUUCGAUACUGGAAGACUUGAGUCCGGGAGAGGUGAGUGGAACUGCGAGUGUAGAGGUGAAAUUCGUAGAUAUUCGCAAGAACACCAGUGGCGAAGGCGGCUCACUGGCCCGGUACUGACGCUGAGGUGCGAAAGCGUGGGGAGCAGACAGG